rfam:Brachypodium distachyon strain Bd21 chromosome 3, whole genome shotgun sequence.
AUCAUACUCCCUCCGUCCCAAAAUAAGUGACGUGGAUUUGUACUUGAAUCUAUACAAAUCCACGUCACUUAUUUUGGGACGGAGGGAGUAGUUA